rfam:Schistosoma haematobium scaffold134_9, whole genome shotgun sequence.
AUCCAGCUAACGAGUCCCAAAUGGGACGAAACUUGUGUCAAACUAGAU